CCUACGGGGGGCAGCAGUGAGGAAUAUUGGUCAAUGGGCUUACGCCUGAACCAGCCAAAUCGCGUGAGGGGAGACUGCCCUAUGGGUUGUAAACCUCUUUUGUCAGGGAGCAACGCCGGCUACGUGUAGCCGGACUGAGAGUACCUGAAGAAAAAGCAUCGGCUAACUCCGUGCCAGCAGCCGCGGUAAUACGGAGAAUGCGAGCGUUAUCCGGAUUUAUUGGGUUUAAAGGGUGCGCAGGCGGAGGUGCAAGUCAGCGGUCAAAUUGCGGGGCUCAACCCCGUACUGCCGUUGAAACUGCAUCC
rnacentral:rRNA from 1 species